AGAGUUUGAUCCUGGCUCAGGAUGAACGCUAGCUACAGGCUUAACACAUGCAAGUCGAGGGGCAGCAUGACGAUAGCUUGCUAUUGUUGAUGGCGACCGGCGCACGGGUGAGUAACGCGUAUCCAACCUGCCCUUGUCCAUCGGAUAACCCGUCGAAAGGCGGCCUAACACGAUAUGCAGUUCUCAGCAGGCAUCUAACGAGAACGAAAUGUGAAGGAGAAGGAUGGGGAUGCGUCUGAUUAGCUUGUUGGCGGGGUAACGGCCCACCAAGGCGACGAUCAGUAGGGGUUCUGAGAGGAAGGUCCCCCACAUUGGAACUGAGACACGGUCCAAACUCCUACGGGAGGCAGCAGUGAGGAAUAUUGGUCAAUGGGCGAGAGCCUGAACCAGCCAAGUAGCGUGCAGGAUGACGGCCCUAUGGGUUGUAAACUGCUUUUAUAAGGGAAUAAAGUGAGUCUCGUGAGACUUUUUGCAUGUACCUUAUGAAUAAGGACCGGCUAAUUCCGUGCCAGCAGCCGCGGUAAUACGGAAGGUCCGGGCGUUAUCCGGAUUUAUUGGGUUUAAAGGGAGCGUAGGCCGGAGAUUAAGCGUGUUGUGAAAUGUAGACGCUCAACGUCUGCACUGCAGCGCGAACUGGUUUCCUUGAGUACGCACAAAGUGGGCGGAAUUCGUGGUGUAGCGGUGAAAUGCUUAGAUAUCACGAAGAACUCCGAUUGCGAAGGCAGCUCACUGGAGCGCAACUGACGCUGAAGCUCGAAAGUGCGGGUAUCGAACAGGAUUAGAUACCCUGGUAGUCCGCACGGUAAACGAUGGAUGCCCGCUGUUGGUCUGAAUAGGUCAGCGGCCAAGCGAAAGCAUUAAGCAUCCCACCUGGGGAGUACGCCGGCAACGGUGAAACUCAAAGGAAUUGACGGGGGCCCG
rnacentral:rRNA from 1 species